rnacentral:rRNA from 1 species
GUCGAGCGCUUUCCUUCGGGAAGGAGCGGCGGACGGGUUAGUAACGCGUGGGAAUAUACCCUUCACUAUGGAAUAGCCUCGGGAAACUGAGAGUAAUACCAUAUACGCCCUUCGGGGGAAAGAUUUAUCGGUGAAGGAUUAGCCCGCGUUAGAUUAGAUAGUUGGUGGGGUAAUGGCCUACCAAGUCUACGAUCUAUAGCUGGUUUGAGAGGAUGAUCAGCAACACUGGGACUGAGACACGGCCCAGACUCCUACGGGAGGCAGCAGUGGGGAAUCUUAGACAAUGGGCGCAAGCCUGAUCUAGCCAUGCCGCGUGAGUGAUGAAGGCCUUAGGGUCGUAAAGCUCUUUCGCCAGAGAUGAUAAUGACAGUAUCUGGUAAAGAAACCCCGGCUAACUCCGUGCCAGCAGCCGCGGUAAUACGGAGGGGGUUAGCGUUGUUCGGAAUUACUGGGCGUAAAGCGUACGUAGGCGGAUUAGUCAGUUAGGGGUGAAAUCCCAGGGCUCAACCCUGGAACUGCCCUUAAUACUGCUAGUCUUGAGUUCGAGAGAGGUGAGUGGAAUUCCGAGUGUAGAGGUGAAAUUCGUAGAUAUUCGGAGGAACACCAGUGGCGAAGGCGGCUCACUGGCUCGAUACUGACGCUGAGGUACGAAAGUGUGGGGAGCAAACAGGA